UUUAUGGAGAGUUUGAUCCUGGCUCAGGAUGAACGCUGGCGGCGUGCCUAAUACAUGCAAGUCGAGCGAACGGACGAGAAGCUUGCUUCUCUGAUGUUAGCGGCGGACGGGUGAGUAACACGUGGAUAACCUACCUAUAAGACUGGGAUAACUUCGGGAAACCGGAGCUAAUACCGGAUAAUAUUUUGAACCGCAUGGUUCAAAAGUGAAAGACGGUCUUGCUGUCACUUAUAGAUGGAUCCGCGCUGCAUUAGCUAGUUGGUAAGGUAACGGCUUACCAAGGCAACGAUGCAUAGCCGACCUGAGAGGGUGAUCGGCCACACUGGAACUGAGACACGGUCCAGACUCCUACGGGAGGCAGCAGUAGGGAAUCUUCCGCAAUGGGCGAAAGCCUGACGGAGCAACGCCGCGUGAGUGAUGAAGGUCUUCGGAUCGUAAAACUCUGUUAUUAGGGAAGAAUAUAUGUGUAAGUAACUGUGCACAUCUUGACGGUACCUAAUCAGAAAGCCACGGCUAACUACGUGCCAGCAGCCGCGGUAAUACGUAGGUGGCAAGCGUUAUCCGGAAUUAUUGGGCGUAAAGCGCGCGUAGGCGGUUUUUUAAGUCUGAUGUGAAAGCCCACGGCUCAACCGUGGAGGGUCAUUGGAAACUGGAAAACUUGAGUGCAGAAGAGGAAAGUGGAAUUCCAUGUGUAGCGGUGAAAUGCGCAGAGAUAUGGAGGAACACCAGUGGCGAAGGCGACUUUCUGGUCUGUAACUGACGCUGAUGUGCGAAAGCGUGGGGAUCAAACAGGAUUAGAUACCCUGGUAGUCCACGCCGUAAACGAUGAGUGCUAAGUGUUAGGGGUUUCCGCCCCUUAGUGCUGCAGCUAACGCAUUAAGCACUCCGCCUGGGGAGUACGACCGCAAGGUUGAAACUCAAAGGAAUUGACGGGGACCCGCACAAGCGGUGGAGCAUGUGGUUUAAUUCGAAGCAACGCGAAGAACCUUACCAAAUCUUGACAUCCUUUGACAACUCUAGAGAUAGAGCCUUCCUCUUCGGGGACAAAGUGACAGGUGGUGCAUGGUUGUCGUCAGCUCGUGUCGUGAGAUGUUGGGUUAAGUCCCGCAACGAGCGCAACCCUUAAGCUUAGUUGCCAUCAUUAAGUUGGGCACUCUAAGUUGACUGCCGGUGACAAACCGGAGGAAGGUGGGGAUGACGUCAAAUCAUCAUGCCCUUAUGAUUUGGGCUACACACGUGCUACAAUGGACAAUACAAAGGGCAGCGAAACCGCGAGGUCAAGCAAAUCCCAUAAAGUUGUUCUCAGUUCGGAUUGUAGUCUGCAACUCGACUACAUGAAGCUGGAAUCGCUAGUAAUCGUAGAUCAGCAUGCUACGGUGAAUACGUUCCCGGGUCUUGUACACACCGCCCGUCACACCACGAGAGUUUGUAACACCCGAAGCCGGUGGAGUAACCUUUUAGGAGCUAGCCGUCGAAGGUGGGACAAAUGAUUGGGGUGAAGUCGUAACAAGGUAGCCGUAUCGGAAGGUGCGGCUGGAUCACCUCCUUUCU
rnacentral:rRNA from 1 species